rnacentral:rRNA from 1 species
UGAAGUAAGUAAGGGCGUACGGUGAAUGCCUUGGUGCCAACAGGCGAAGAAGGACGCGGCAAGCUGCGAAAAGCCUCGGGAAGCUGCAAGCAAGCGAUGAUCCGGGGAUAUCCGAAUGGGGUAACCUGAUCGAGGCAAUACUCGAUCGUUCAUACCUGAAUACAUAGGGUAUGAAACGCGAAACCCGCUGAAGUGAAACAUCUCAGUAAGCGGAGGAAAAGAAAGAGAAAUCGAUUCCGUAAGUAGUGGCGAGCGAAAGCGGAUGGAGCCCAAACCGAAGGUAUUCCUUCGGGGUUGUAGGACCACGUCAUAUUCGACCAUACUGGAUAGUAGAACAGCCUGGAAAGGCUGGCCGGAGAAGGUGAAAGCCCUGUAGACGAAAUCCAGAGUGGGAAUUAGUGGUAUCCUGAGUAAUACAUCACACGUGGAACGAUGUAUGAACCCGCGCGGACCACCGCGCAAGGCUAAAUACUAGUUGGCGACCGAUAGUGAACAAGUACCGCGAGGGAAAGGUGAAAAGAACCGCUGUGAGCGGAGUGAAAUAGAACCUGAAACCGUAUGUCUACAAAGUGUCAGAGCAGAGCAAUCUGCGAUGGCGUGCCUUUUGUUUAAUGAGUCUGCGAGUCAGUGUUUGUGGCAAGACUAAGGGCUUCCGGCCCGGAGUCGCAGCGAAAGCAAGUCCGAACAGGGCGCAAUAAGUCGCAGGUACUGGACCCGAAGCGGAGGUGACCUACCCUUGGCCAGGUUGAAGCAUGGGUAAAACCAUGUGGAGGACCGAACAGGUGAACGUUGAAAAGUUCUCUGAUGAGCUGAGGGUAGGAGUGAAAGGCUAAUCAAACCCCGUGAUAGCUGGUUCUCUUCGAAAUGCAUUUAGGUGCAGCGUCACGUGCUGAUGCGCGGGGGUAGAGCACUGACAAGGCUAGGGGGCACACCCGCUUACCAAACCUUAUCAAACUCCGAAUACCGUGCAAUGGAACGUGGCAGUGAGACAGUGGGGGAUAAGCUUCAUUGUCGAGAGGGAAACAACCCAGACCAGCAGCUAAGGUGCCUAAAUAACGCUCAGUGGAAAGGAUGUGGGAUUACACAGACAGUGAGGAUGUUGGCUUAGAAGCAGCCACCAUUUAAAAAAUGCGUAAUAGCUUACUCAUCGAGUGAUCCUGCGCCGAAAAUGAUUGGCGAUCAAGCGUUAUACCGAAGCUCUGGACUUUGCCGCAAGGCAGAGUGGUAGAAGAGCGUUGCAUGCGCGUCGAAGGGCGAUGGCGACUGACCCUGGAGCACAUGCAAGUGAGUAUGCAGACAUGAGUAACGUUAAGCCGGGUGAAACCCCCGGCCGCCGUAAACCCGAGGUUUCCAGGGCAACGUGUUUCGUCCCUGGGUUAGCCGGGACCUAAGCCGAGGCCGAGAGGCGUAGGCGAUGGACAUCAGGUUAAUAAUCCUGAGCUCGCAACCCUUAAACUGGGGGGACGCAUGAGAAAAGAUGACUAGGUUAUUGAAUUCCGAGUUGAGUCCACGGACUCAGCGCAUCAUUGGAUCGAGUGCCAAGAAAAGCCCCAGCGUAUGCUAAGCGACCCGUACCGCAAACCGACACAGGUGGGUGGGUAGAACAUACCGAGGCGAUCGGGUCAACCAUGGUCAAGGAACUCGGCACAAUGGCCCCGUAACUUCGGGAGAAGGGGUGCCCGCGCGUACGUGAACCGGCUUGCCCGGGGAGCGGAGGCGGGCCGCAGUGGAGAGGCCCAAGCGACUGUUUACCAAAAACACAGGACUCUGCAGAAGCCGCAAGGCGACGUAUAGGGUCUGACGCCUGCCCGGUGCCGGAAGGUCACGCGGAGGAGUUAGCCGAUUCGGCGAAGCCCCGAAGCCAAGCCCCGGUAAACGGCGGCCGUAACUAUAACGGUCCUAAGGUAGCGAAAUUCCUUGUCGGGUAAGUUCCGACCUGCACGAAUGGCGUAACGACUUCCCCACUGUCUCGACCAGGAGCUCGGCGAAAUUGCAGUACGAGUAAAGAUGCUCGUUAAGCGCAGAAGGACGAAAAGACCCCGGGACCUUUACUAUACCUUGGUAUUGGCGUUAGGCGCGGAUUGUGUAGCAUAGGCGGGAGGCUUCGAAGCAUGGGCGCCAGCCCGUGUGGAGCCGCAAGGUGAAAUACCGCUCUGUUCUCGUUUGACGUCUAACCUCGACAAGUCAUCCUUGUCAGGGACAGUGCCUGGCGGGUAGUUCAACUGGGGCGGUUGCCUCCCAAAGAGUAACGGAGGCGCUCAAAGGUCCGCUCAGCCCGGUUGGCAAUCGGGUGUCGAGUGUAAUCGCACAAGCGGGCUUGACUGCGAGGACGACGGUCCGAGCAGGGACGAAAGUCGGGACUAGUGAUCCGGUGCCGGUGUACGGACGCGGCAUCGCUCAACGGAUAAAAGGUACCCCGGGGAUAACAGGCUGAUCAUUCCCAAGAGUCCAUAUCGACGGGAUGGUUUGGCACCUCGAUGUCGGCUCGUCGCAUCCUGGGGCUGGAGCAGGUCCCAAGGGUACGGCUGU